UACAGAGGGUGCAAGCGUUUGUUCGGAAUUAUUGGGCGUAAAGCGCGUGUAGGCGGCCCUGCAAGUCGGGUGUGAAAUCCCAUGGCUCAACCAUGGAAGUGCACUCGAAACUGCAGGGCUAGAGUCCUGGAGAGGAAGGUGGAAUGCUUGGUGUAGAGGUGAAAUUCGUAGAUAUUCGCAAGAACACCAGUGGCGAAGGCGGCUCACUGGCCCGGUACUGACGCUGAGGUGCGAAAGCGUGGGGAGCAAACAGGG
rnacentral:rRNA from 1 species